AUUCAGAAGAAUCCCAUGCUUGUUGCUUUGCUUUACUUUGUGUUGCGCAAGUACAGCUUAAGUUCUAAAGUUACUUAGAUUUCCUUCUAUUCUUGGUAAGUUAUCUGCUGUACUCUCUGCAUAGAACUGUGUUUCUUGACUGUCCUGGGGAGCUAUGCAGCCUUCAGUGAAGAACAGGGAACAGAAGCUGCUUGGGGAAUUCUUUGACUGGCAAACACCUGCUGCUGCGGAGAGUAUCUCAAAUGUACACCACUCACAAACCUCAGGAUAAAAUCAAAUGGGAUUCUGGAGAUGCCGUGUUCUACUACUCCACAGUGCUUCAUAAAUCAAUGUGAGAUGUGCCCAUGCUGAUUCACAUGGUCUGCAGUUGGCAUCUAUCAACAAAACUGCUACCUGCACCUUCAUUUGGAAGGAAUCCAGAGCAAUCACAAGGAAACAUUUAGAGGAACAGAAGAGAAAGAGAUGGGAUGUAUAUGGCAAGCCAGACUGGAAGGAGACCAGUAACAAAAUUCACCAAAAUAUCACUAAUGUCCUGGGGGUCACUGUCUCUUCAUACAAUGAGGGUAUCAACCAAUUCCUCUGCAACGUUAGAGUUGAAGAAUUUGCCUUAUUCUCAUCAUUUCCAACUGUCAGUACAAAAAUAAAAAUUUGAACUGGAAAGAGAUUGGAAAGGUGAAAGUUGCGAAGAUGCCGUAGUGGCAAACCCACUACAGUUCUGAUGCAGAUGCCAAAGGCUCUGUGCCCUUCAAUCCCAUUAUUAGCAGGAACCUCCUUUCUCAGGAUAUGAAAGAAGAGGCAGAGGAACCUACAGCAGGCAAGGCAAGCUUUAGCCUAGAACAUGCAGUGAGAAAGUGAGAAGCAAGAUUUCUCUAAGUACUCUGUCCCCAUGGAUGCCUCUGUGAUUGAAAGACGACUUCAGUGAACUGAAGAGGCAUGACUCUUCAGUGACAGAAUCUAUAGUACUGUGGUCCACCCAUACUGCAGACUUGACUCUCCAGAGGUCCCUUCCAGCUGCUACAAUUCUCUGAUUCUGCAAAAUCAUUUCAUUCAAGAGAAAGUGAACUGACAAAAAGUAGGUACCAGAGUCUCUUUUGAAGGGAGAUGAUUCAAGCAUGAUGGCAGAGGGAAGGCUCAGUCAAACCUUGGACCACUGUGGAACCAGGCCACAAGAUCCAAACUGGAGAGUGCCAGCCAGGAUGAUUUGUGCUACUGUGUAAUGAGAGAAAUCCUGCAUCUUUGGCUAUUCAUGGGUCUGAAAUACAGCCUGCUGCAGCUGAUAAGGUAUAAUGGGUUUCAGUGAGCUUCAGCACCUCUGAACUGAACACAGCAGAGACCCAACAUGACUGAAGUUUCCAAGUCCAACUGUAAGAUAGACUGAAAAAAAGGGAGUACAAAGAGUAAAUAGAUGGAAACAGAAAGUGAAUUUUGGUUGUGGAUGAGUAAAUAAAGAUGCAUUGAAAGCUGGCAAAAUGAGACUCACAGGACAGUUCCCCUUCUCCCAGACCUGUUUCAUCUCAGAUAAGGGAAAUUAGAGCCAGGCCCAUAAGGCUGCAAGAAAAAUUGGCCUGACGUUGCCUCUCCUGUGCCAGCUUCUGAACUGGAUCGUGAGGAGUCUGAGAUACACCAAAGCACACAGACCUGUCUGAAAAAAAGCAGACUCAAACCCGUACCCAGGAUGACAGUUGCAGAGUUCGCUGGUACUGCCACAGCACCUUCAAUGCAGAUUGAUGCCAAUGGUGACAGUCCAGAGCUCAUCACAGACCCUGUCAGCCACUUUCAUGGGUGUCCUUUUUUUCUUAAGACAAAUGAAUGGGGAAAAACAGAAAACUCCAGACUGUCACCGCAUUCAUCAGGCUGGACUCUCAUCCAAGAUGUCAUUUCUCUCAAGCUGCUUGGUUCAGCUUUAAAAGUGGGAACUAUUUAACUAAGGAAUGAUGAGAUAAGCUCCAUUGUUGGUUCUUUUGAGUAUUCCUCAGAUGGUUAAGCUUACUACAAGACUCUAAUAUUAAAGAUUUCUAGAAGAUAGAGAACCUCUCUAAAGCUUUCAAGACAGUAUGUCUGAGUGCACCACAACAUAAAAUCUAUAAGCCAUCUGCUCCUGCUAAUAUCCCACUGAAAAUGAAGAAUGUAUUCAGCUGCUUCUUCUAUAUGCAACUUUAUGCAGGUCCAAUGCAAAUAUUGUGGAUAUUGUACCAGGAAAACUACAAUACGGCACAAAAGGAAAACUGUGACCUAAGAACUCUGAGAAACAAAUGGGAAAGAAUGAAAAGUCUGAUCUUGUGACUCCAUUUGGAUUCUUCAUCCAGCACUGUGGAGAAAUUACAUAGAAAGAGAUGAAGUUCCUGCUAUUGCUGUAGGAGGAAUAACAAUAUAACGGAGAAGAACAAAGAAUAAUCUUAAGGUUAUGCCACAGGGAAUCAGCUGUGGUUCUCCUGCGCUAGAGGUGAGCAAGAUCUGAUACUUGCAGGACAGCACCUAAGUUGGGAAGUCUUCAGAUUCAAGCCUACCAUCUUCUGCCUCCUCCCAACUUUUGCAUAUCUCAGCAAAUUAUCCCAGCUGUGAACCAUUCAAGGAGUGAGUUUCUUAUUUCCACUUGUCUGUAAUCAGGGCUUUAAAAAAUGCUGAUGCAAAUGCAAAGUUCAUCCAGAAGGAAUAUAAAAAGGGUGAAACAGCAGGACAAUGUAAAUUCGAGACCUCCGUAUUAUCUGCUAAGUUAGAAGGAAUUAAAUGUUUAUAUGGCAAGUUCUUGGGCACACGGGAUAUGCAGGUACACUUGCAGCCAAGAGACGUAAGCCAAGCACUGAAUUCUCCACAUAUGCCCUGCAUCCAGUUUUCCUGGGUACUGAAGUUUUCCAGCGGCCCCUGCAAUGCGCGGAUGAGCUCCAUGUUCCAGCCCCUUCUCUCCCUCGGUACAGUUGGGAACAUGCUGCAGAGGACAUCCCUGAGUUCUGACAGCCAUACUCAGCUCUUGCAUCUUAGAUGCCUGUCCCAACUUCUGUGAGGCACGGGGAGACAGGAUGUUUUGGCACUUGUAGAAUGAAACCCUCCAAAACAGAGAAAUGACGAGAUUUUAAGCCUUGCCUGUCUGCCUAGCACUCAAGUAAGACACAAGCAGUAACAGCUGGGUCAGCUAUGAGAAAAUUCUUUCACAUGAUUAAUACAGAGAGGCAGUUGUGACUUUUUUAAAUCCCAGAGUCUUUUUUGUUCUGUAUUUUUCCAUACUGAAAACCAGGCAGCUCCUCAGGAAGAAAGGAGUAAUGUUUCUAUUUGAGAAAGUAAGUGCCUUAGAGAAUGAUGUGGUUUAAUAGACAUCAUGCACAAACCACAGCGUCUUCUGUCUGAGGAUUUGCAAAGUAAGCACUGGAUUUCUCCUCACCACCCAAGGUACUUUGAAAUGGCCACAUGGCAGGGUCUAAAGGAAAAUGCUGAAUACUAUGGGAUAUUUUCUGGUGAUGGUCAAAUGUUGCACUGCAGAGAUUUCAAUAAUAGAGAAAUGGAUUAUCAAGAGAUGGUAGCCAGGUAAUGUUAUGGUAGCCAGGUUAUGUUAUAAGUAGGCUCUUGAUUUAGGCCAAAAUCAAAACAACCUGAACUGAAUGGUGCAGUGUGAAAGAUGAGGCAGAUGUCUUCACACCUGAUCCCUUCAAGGCCUAGAUCUCUUUGUUUUGCCAUUGAAAGUCCCUCUGAUGAAGCACAGAGCAGAAAAACAAACGUGGAAGCCAGACAUCAGUCUCAGCAAAGUAAUAAUAUAUAAUUAUCAAAGCUCACAGAGUAAUCAGGGUGAAACUACCCAAAAAGCACCUUUACUUGCAUCCUCACCAGCUUCACUGGUAGUCAGCAAGUGAGAUUUGAUCUUACAGCUCUUAAUAGAUUUCUAUAUAUUAGCAUUGAAAGAAAGGAUUUCAAAGGAAUCAUAGCCUGAAGUCUGCUAGUGUCUAUCUUUUCCUCAAGGGAUAAAUUACAGAAAAGUAAUUUUUAACAAAUAGGAACAAAAGAUGUGAGAGUGAUUUGAAAUAUUAGCAAGUUAAUUAAUGUUUUAAUACAUUUUUUAAAGGUAGAUCUAAAAAUAACCUUGGGUAUUUAUAUACGUAGAUAUAGUUCUAGCUGACAACGUUAUAGAUACAAUGUCAGAAAAUCAUGGUUCAGAAGAGGAAAAUCUGAACAACGCUCAGGAUUUAUUUUCAUCUAUAAAAGAGUUGUUGAAAUCCUGUUCAUUUUUUUUCUUUCUUUUUCCAAAGCCAAUGUUAUCCUGACUUUUCUAUUUUGUUCUGUUUUUCCUGAAUUUGUCCUUAGAUAGUCUCAACAGUAAUGAAAUGAGUCAGAAGAUCCAAUGUUUGUUUGUUUGUUUUUUUUAAAUAACAGUUUUUUUCACAACUGUAUCAAGAACAGAGGUCUAAUUUCCCUCUGCCACUAUAAUACUAAAACCUUCAUUGAAAUGAAAAAAAUCAUUGAUAAAAUCACCACGAGCAACCCAUCAAAAUCCAUAUGAAAGUUUGUAUGGGAACUGUUAGGUCACAGCCUGCACUUGUGAUUGAGCACCUGGGGAAGAGGUGUGACUAGCCCUAGGAGCACAGGUGCAGGCAAUUCACCUGCUAGCCCUAGGAGCACAGGUGCAGGCAGUUCAUCUGCACAACAGGACAGAUGCACCCUGGGUAAACCUCUCCCUCAUUUAAGGGCCAGCAGCGAGGAGGGCAGUAUCUAUUUUUGGAGAUCUUUGUUUCUCUGGGAAGUUUUCAAUGGAAAUUCAUUUGGAGUAAGAUUAAGAACAUCGAAAGCAAAAGAAAAGCUAGAAAAAUGAAGUAUUUCUGGUGAGAGGGGGCAAAAAAGAACACACUAAAAUGUUGUUGAUUCAAUAUAAAUUGCACUUCAUAUUGAAUGACUAAAAUGUAAGCAUCACAGAUAACAGGUAUUAUUAAUGCACUGAAAACUGGUUAUUUUAACAAAGCAAGCAAUGGAAAACUAAGGAAAGAGGAAGAAUGCUGUAAGAAAUUCUACUUCAGCUUCAAUGAGGAAUUCAGAAGAAAUCAAAGGACAAGGAAAAAAAGAAGAAUCACUAAGAAUAAGUGGAUGUGCCCCAUUGCUUGCAGACUAGGCACGCGCUUGUGUAGAUGCGCCCCAUUGCAAGGUGCAAUCUCCUGUGGACGUGCCUUUCUGUACAUGCACCCUGUUGCUGUUGAGGCCCUCCUGUAGACCUUAAUAUGUUUCUGCCAGUUAUUGCAGUUAACAGCUUUACUUCUCAUUGCUCAGUACUAUUGUGAAUUAGGCUUUAUUACUGCAUCCAAGUAACUGUUAUUGUAACUUUAAGCUGUAUUAUAGUUUAUUCAUACAUUUAUUAUUUUAUUUUAUUAUAAUUCUCCUAAUGAACACUUAAAACUGUUGUUAAUCUACCCAAAAUCUUGUUUAUUCGGGCCUUUUAGAGCAUUUUCUGGAAAAUGUUUCAGUGAUAGGAUUGAUAAAAUACCGUGCUUUAACCAUUAUAGCUUUAUGUAAAAGACCCAAACCAGCCCUGCCCAAGGAAAUCUAGAUUCAAACGGACUACCAAAAAAAACACCACUAUAUUCUCUAUUUCCUUCUAUUGCUUGAUGGAACAGAUCUUAAAAGUAUGAAGAAUCACCAACACAUACAGCAAAUACUGGAAAAUAUUAUACAAACUGUGUUGUUGAACCUGUAUUUUGCUCCUGGAGGUGGCCCUUUCAAAACACAGCUGAGUGUCUCUGCCAGCACUCGGUGCCAAGGCUGAAACUGCUUACUUUGUGCGUGUACUUGAGUUAAAAGUUUCCAGUACUGCUGACAUCUAGGAGGAUUUCUUUUCAGGAAGAAAUGCAAGAGAAAUCCUUAUUUUGGUAUUCCAUCUGAAAGAAGAGUUUUCAAACAACCAAAAAAAAACAGACACAAAUUUCUAGAGUUGGAAAUCUCUUUUUACAGAGUUCCUGAGGGCCAAGGGUCUACAUGAGUUCAAACUAACAGCAUCCUGCUAUUAUCAGUUUUAAAUGAUGCUGAGUUUGUGGAUUACUGGUAUUAAUAAUGUUUAGCCAAAAAGGAAACUACAGCUUAUAGUCUUAUGGCUCACUUAUGUAGUGCCAAACUCCUCAUUGAAUAUUUGAUCUUGCAGUCAAGAGCUGAUUUCUGGUCACCACUCUCAGUGGUCAGAGGAUUACACAGAUGCAAAUGCCAGUCCCAAGGCUCUAACAAGGCAAAUAUUUUCAUAUAAUAAGGGAUCACCAGAAGGAAAGAAAUGCCAUCAAAACUUCCCAGUGUUGCUGUCAGAUCAUGUGUGACGCAUGGUGAUGGUCUACAUGGAACUGGUGGAGCAUAGUAUGAAUCUGCAGUGCAAAACUGGGUUGCCUCCAAUAGCACCCCUGUGCACUGGCCCAUGAAAGAGCAUGGAAUUCCACCAUACACCAAUCAUCACUCAUCUUAAAUUGUAUUAACAUGCAUUGCAAAGCAUGUGUAAGCAUCAGAUCUCUGUAUUAGUUAAGGUUCUUCCUGUAGUUAACUUGAUCAUUAGCUCACGUCACAAAGGGCUGGAGCACAUGGGAACUAUUAGUCACAACCUGAAACUUUGAUCACCUGAGGCAAGAACUGUCAGCUGCAGGAGCACAGGUGAAGGCAUUUCACCUGUGUGACCGGAGGGGUGGCCGUGGUCCACCUCUCCUAGACUCCAUUUAAGGGCUGACUGCCACUGAGGAAGGAUCUCUUGCUGGAGAUCACUCUCUUUGGAGUUUUUCUGCAACUCUUGGACAUAGGAGAGCAUUUUCAUUUAUUUUUUAUUUUCACUUUGCACUGUGAUAAUCCUGCUAGUUCUAGGACCUGAAAAAUAACACUCUACAGACUGUG